rnacentral:snRNA from 1 species
AUCCAUUCUUCAGCCUGUUGGCUGAGAUCAAGUGUACUAUCUGUCUAAUAAACUUCCACUGUUACUUAUCAGGAAAACUUUAUUUAAUCUGUCAACUCUGAACAGUCUUCAUGAAAUCCAUGAUUCCUGAUGUAUCUUAAGGCUUCUAUGAGCAAAUACUUUAAUCAGUUUUGUUUCCCAUUAAAACAAUUGAUGAGUGACUAUUU